AUUGAACGCUGGCGGCAGGCCUAACACAUGCAAGUCGAGCGGAGCGGCGGACGGGUGAGUAAUGCCUAGGAAUCUGCCUGUUAGUGGGGGAUAACGUCCGGAAACGGGCGCUAAUACCGCAUACUAUCAGAUGAGCCUAGGUCGGAUUAGCGAGUUGGUGGUGUAAAGGCCUACCAAGGCGACGAUCCGUAACUGGUCUGAGAGGAUGAUCAGUCACACUGUAACUGAGACACGGCCCAGACUCCUACGGGAGGCAGCAGUGGGGAAUAUUGCACAAUGGGCGCAAGCCUGAUGCAGCCAUGCCGCGUGGGUGAAGAAGGCCUUCGGGUUGUAAAGCACUUUCAGCGGGGAGGCGUUACCCGCAGAAGAAGCACCGGCUAACUCCGUGCCAGCAGCCGCGGUAAUUC
rnacentral:rRNA from 1 species